ACGGCUCAGUAACACGUAGUCAACAUGCCCAGGGGACGUGGAUAACCUCGGGAAACUGAGGAUAAACCGCGAUAAGUCACUACUUCUGGAAUGGGUAAUGACUAAAAUCUACAUGGCCCCUGGAUUGGACUGCGGCCGAUCAGGCUGUUGGUGAGGUAAUGGCCCACCAAACCUGUAACCGGUACGGGCUCUGAGAGGAGGAGCCCGGAGAUGGGCACUGAGACAAGGGCCCAGGCCCUAUGGGGCGCAGCAGGCGCGAAACCUCUGCAAUAGGCGAAAGCCUGACAGGGUUACUCUGAGUGAUUUCCGUUAAGGAGAUCUUUUGGCACCUCUAAAAAUGGUGCAGAAUAAGGGGUGGGCAAGUCUGGUGUCAGCCGCCGCGGUAAUACCAGCACCCCGAGUGGUCGGGACGUUUAUUGGGCCUAAAGCAUCCGUAGCCGGUUCUACAAGUCUUCCGUUAAAUCCACCUGCUUAACAGAUGGGCUGCGGAAGAUACUAUAGAGCUAGGAGGCGGGAGAGGCAAGCGGUACUCGAUGGGUAGGGGUAAAAUCCGUUGAUCCAUUGAAGACCACCAGUGGCGAAGGCGGCUUGCCAGAACGCGCUCGACGGUGAGGGAUGAAAGCUGGGGGGGCAAACCGGAUUAGAUACCCGGGUAGUCCCAGCUGUAAACGAUGCAGACUCGGUGAUGAGUUGGCUUCUUGCCAACUCAGUGCCGCAGGGAAGCCGUUAAGUUUGCCGCCUGGGGAGUACGGUCGCAAGACUGAAACUUAAAGGAAUUGGCGGGGGAG
rnacentral:rRNA from 1 species